rnacentral:pre_miRNA from 1 species
GGAAACUUAAUUUCUGGGUUUUCGUGUCUAGCGUUUGACCGUCUGUUUUAUUUGAAAAAAUUAUGAAAAAAUUUAAAAAGAUAAGUCAUGCAUAAAGUAUUAUUUAUGGUUUAUCAUCUAACAGUAAUGAAAAUACUAAUCACAAAAAAAUUUCAUAUAAGACGGACAGUCAAACAUUAGACACAAAAACAUAAG